rnacentral:rRNA from 1 species
AGUGAACGCUGGCGGUAGGCCUAACACAUGCAAGUCGAACGGCAGCACAGUAAGAGCUUGCUCUUACGGGUGGCGAGUGGCGGACGGGUGAGGAAUACAUCGGAAUCUACUUUUUCGUGGGGGAUAACGUAGGGAAACUUACGCUAAUACCGCAUACGACCUACGGGUGAAAGCAGGGGAUCUUCGGACCUUGCGCGAUUGAAUGAGCCGAUGUCGGAUUAGCUAGUUGGCGGGGUAAAGGCCCACCAAGGCGACGAUCCGUAGCUGGUCUGAGAGGAUGAUCAGCCACACUGGAACUGAGACACGGUCCAGACACCUACGGGAGGCAGCAGUGGGGAAUAUUGGACAAUGGGCGCAAGCCUGAUCCAGCCAUACCGCGUGGGUGAAGAAGGCCUUCGGGUUGUAAAGCCCUUUUGUUGGGAAAGAAAAGCAGCAGGUUAAUACCCCGCUGUUCUGACGGUACCCAAAGAAUAAGCACCGGCUAACUUCGU